UACCUCGCCACGCGUGCCUCGUGCUUGCGAGUCGGACUGCUGACUACGGAGGGAUCCCUUUUGUAGCCGCCGAGGGCCCGCGAGGCUCCGUGUGCCCGCCGCUUCCGAGUGCUGCGCUGCGGCUCGGGCAACGGCCGGGGAGGAACUGUCGGUCCCUGGUGGUAACGCAGCCGGGCCUGCUAGGCGCUUCAAGCAGCGCGUCCGGCCGGGCAGUGUUGUUUUCCGAGGCUGUAAAGGAGCCCGAGGUAUAAACCCGCUUGACGUUUCCGUACGGCGGUGCGCUUUGUCGGAGGGCUCGGCCGUACUGACGGAGCUGGCACAGGGUUCCCGCGGGACUCCGGCUUUGCCCGUCUCGUGGAAAGGCUCCAGAGCCUGCUUGGGAAGCCGCUUGACAAGGCACGGCUUUGCCGUGAUUUUUAUGCCGGAAUUCCGACGGUAACGCCGAUGCCACGUGUUAGCCUUUCUCCAGCAGCUCUUCAAAGCAGAGUGAGCCUUAAGAAUCGGACUGCCUUUUAACGAAAUUCGAAACAAAGCGGCGGGGUGAAGCGGCUGGAAGCGUCCUGCCGGUCUGCCGUGGGUAUCGCUGCCGUGCGUGUUACCUGCCUGUCUGCCGAUCGCUCCUGCCUCUUGUUGUGCCCCGGGCCUCGGCUGUUGCGUGCAGAGAAGCUGUCAGCCUUGUGAGAGAGCACGCCGCCGGCAAGCGCAUCGUGGUGCUUCGGUACCGAGCUGAGACCGCAGGCGUCCCUCUUUUGUUUGCGAAAAGGGAUCGCGAGGAAAGGUGCUGACCUCGGAGGGGGAGAGGUGGCGGGGGAACAGGGGGCGUUCCCACAAGGCAGUGGUGUGGAGCCGAAGGGGACUGCGAUGGAACGGGGACGGAGCCCGUUUGGACCGAGUCUUGAAGAUAGAUCUCUCGGGUUUUUGUCCGAGGAAACUUCGUCUCGAGACGGUCCUAUCGCUCGCUGGCAACGUGACUAGUCGAAUCGAGGAUGUUCGCUGCCAGAACUUCAUCCACCGAGAUGGGAAGCCAGGCAACUUCCUAACGGGCCGUGGGCAGAGUUCCCUUCUUGAUGCCGUGCCUCUAUAAUAAACUGUGCAGUCCGUUAGCUGGACGGGCUGCAGUACCCAAUUUUUUUCGCCAGGCGGCAGCACCGCGCGCCCCCCAGGCGGAGUAAGGGCAGCGCAUGCGCAGACGCGGCUUGACGCCGAAGGGGGCGUGGCCUCCGGGCACGUCGCGGGCCGAUGACGCAAUCCGGCUUCGGCGCAUGCGCAGAAGGGGUUUCUGGCAAAGUAAGGGCAGCGCAUGCGCAGACGCGGCUUGACGCCGAAGGGGGCGGGGCUUCCGGCCUCGUCGCGGACCGAUGACGCAACACGCCUCGACGCAUGCGCAGAAGGGCUUUCUGGCAAACUAAGGGCAGCGCAUGCGCAGACGCGGCUUGACGCCGAAGGGGGCGGGGCUUCCGGCCUCGGGCGUACGGGCAGAUGACGCAAUCCCGCUUUGGCGCAUGCGCAGAAGCCUUGCUGGCCGACCGAGGGCGGCGCAUGCGCAGAAGCGGCUUUGACCCCCUAGGGGCGGGGCUUCCGGCCUCGUGCGUAGGGGCAGAGGACGCAUCCGGCCCGGGAAAGGCGGGUUCGCUGCCGGCCCGCGCGGCGCGCUGGAGCGGCCGUGGAGGUUCGUCCGGAAGCGUCCGUCGACAAGUCAAGGGGAGCGGAACCGAAGGGCCUCGGCUGUUGCGUGCAGAGAAGCUGUCAGCCUUGUGAGAGAGCACGCCGCCGGCAAGCGCAUCGUGGUGCUUCGGUACCGAGCUGAGACCGCAGGCGUCCCUCUUUUGUUUGCGAAAAGGGAUCGCGAGGAAAGGUGCUGACCUCGGAGGGGGAGAGGUGGCGGGGGAACAGGGGGCGUUCCCACAAGGCAGUGGUGUGGAGCCGAAGGGGACUGCGAUGGAACGGGGACGGAGCCCGUUUGGACCGAGUCUUGAAGAUAGAUCUCUCGGGUUUUUGUCCGAGGAAACUUCGUCUCGAGACGGUCCUAUCGCUCGCUGGCAACGUGACUAGUCGAAUCGAGGAUGUUCGCUGCCAGAACUUCAUCCACCGAGAUGGGAAGCCAGGCAACUUCCUAACGGGCCGUGGGCAGAGUUCCCUUCUUGAUGCCGUGCCUCUAUAAUAAACUGUGCAGUCCGUUAGCUGGACGGGCUGCAGUACCCAAUUUUUUUCGCCAGGCGGCAGCACCGCGCGCCCCCCAGGCGGAGUAAGGGCAGCGCAUGCGCAGACGCGGCUUGACGCCGAAGGGGGCGUGGCCUCCGGGCACGUCGCGGGCCGAUGACGCAAUCCGGCUUCGGCGCAUGCGCAGAAGGGGUUUCUGGCAAAGUAAGGGCAGCGCAUGCGCAGACGCGGCUUGACGCCGAAGGGGGCGGGGCUUCCGGCCUCGUCGCGGACCGAUGACGCAACACGCCUCGACGCAUGCGCAGAAGGGCUUUCUGGCAAACUAAGGGCAGCGCAUGCGCAGACGCGGCUUGACGCCGAAGGGGGCGGGGCUUCCGGCCUCGGGCGUACGGGCAGAUGACGCAAUCCCGCUUUGGCGCAUGCGCAGAAGCCUUGCUGGCCGACCGAGGGCGGCGCAUGCGCAGAAGCGGCUUUGACCCCCUAGGGGCGGGGCUUCCGGCCUCGUGCGUAGGGGCAGAGGACGCAUCCGGCCCGGGAAAGGCGGGUUCGCUGCCGGCCCGCGCGGCGCGCUGGAGCGGCCGUGGAGGUUCGUCCGGAAGCGUCCGUCGACAAGUCAAGGGGAGCGGAACCGAAGGUCGCUCGAGAUGUUACUUCGCCACGCGUGCCUCGUGCUUGCGAGUCGGACUGCUGACUACGGAGGGAUCCCUUUUGUAGCCGCCGAGGGCCCGCGAGGCUCCGUGUGCCCGCCGCUUCCGAGUGCUGCGCUGCGGCUCGGGCAACGGCCGGGGAGGAACUGUCGGUCCCUGGUGGUAACGCAGCCGGGCCUGCUAGGCGCUUCAAGCAGCGCGUCCGGCCGGGCAGUGUUGUUUUCCGAGGCUGUAAAGGAGCCCGAGGUAUAAACCCGCUUGACGUUUCCGUACGGCGGUGCGCUUUGUCGGAGGGCUCGGCCGUACUGACGGAGCUGGCACAGGGUUCCCGCGGGACUCCGGCUUUGCCCGUCUCGUGGAAAGGCUCCAGAGCCUGCUUGGGAAGCCGCUUGACAAGGCACGGCUUUGCCGUGAUUUUUACGCCGGAAUUCCGACGGUAGCGCCGAUGCCACGUGUUAGCCUUUCUCCAGCAGCUCUUCAAAGCAGAGUGAGCCUUAAGAAUCGGACUGCCUUUUAACGAAAUCCGAAACAAAGCGGCGGGGUGAAGCGGCUGGAAGCGUCCUGCCGGUCUGCCGUGGGUAUUGCUGCCGUGCGUGUUACCUGCCUGUCUGCCGAUCGCUCCUGCCUCUUGUUGUGCCCCGGGCCUCGGCUGUUGCGUGCAGAGAAGCUGUCAGCCUUGUGAGAGAGCACGCCGCCGGCAAGCGCAUCGUGGUGCUUCGGUACCGAGCUGAGACCGCAGGCGUCCCUCUUUUGUUUGCGAAAAGGGAUCGCGAGGAAAGGUGCUGACCUCGGAGGGGGAGAGGUGGCGGGGGAACAGGGGGCGUUCCCACAAGGCAGUGGUGUGGAGCCGAAGGGGACUGCGAUGGAACGGUGACGGAGCCCGUUUGGACCGAGUCUUGAAGAUAGAUCUCUCGGGUUUUUGUCCGAGGAAACUUCGUCUCGAGACGGUCCUAUCGCUCGCUGGCAACGUGACUAGUCGAAUCGAGGAUGUUCGCUGCCAGAACUUCAUCCACCGAGAUGGGAAGCCAGGCAACUUCCUAACGGGCCGUGGGCAGAGUUCCCUUCUUGAUGCCGUGCCUCUAUAAUAAACUGUGCAGUCCGUUAGCUGGACGGGCUGCAGUACCCAAUUUUUUUCGCCAGGCGGCAGCACCGCGCGCCCCCCAGGCGGAGUAAGGGCAGCGCAUGCGCAGACGCGGCUUGACGCCGAAGGGGGCGUGGCCUCCGGGCACGUCGCGGGCCGAUGACGCAAUCCGGCUUCGGCGCAUGCGCAGAAGGGGUUUCUGGCAAAGUAAGGGCAGCGCAUGCGCAGACGCGGCUUGACGCCGAAGGGGGCGGGGCUUCCGGCCUCGUCGCGGACCGAUGACGCAACACGCCUCGACGCAUGCGCAGAAGGGCUUUCUGGCAAACUAAGGGCAGCGCAUGCGCAGACGCGGCUUGACGCCGAAGGGGGCGGGGCUUCCGGCCUCGGGCGUACGGGCAGAUGACGCAAUCCCGCUUUGGCGCAUGCGCAGAAGCCUUGCUGGCCGACCGAGGGCGGCGCAUGCGCAGAAGCGGCUUUGACCCCCUAGGGGCGGGGCUUCCGGCCUCGUGCGUAGGGGCAGAGGACGCAUCCGGCCCGGGAAAGGCGGGUUCGCUGCCGGCCCGCGCGGCGCGCUGGAGCGGCCGUGGAGGUUCGUCCGGAAGCGUCCGUCGACAAGUCAAGGGGAGCGGAACCGAAGGUCGCUCGAGAUGUUACUUCGCCACGCGUGCCUCGUGCUUGCGAGUCGGACUGCUGACUACGGAGGGAUCCCUUUUGUAGCCGCCGAGGGCCCGCGAGGCUCCGUGUGCCCGCCGCUUCCGAGUGCUGCGCUGCGGCUCGGGCAACGGCCGGGGAGGAACUGUCGGUCCCUGGUGGUAACGCAGCCGGGCCUGCUAGGCGCUUCAAGCAGCGCGUCCGGCCGGGCAGUGUUGUUUUCCGAGGCUGUAAAGGAGCCCGAGGUAUAAACCCGCUUGACGUUUCCGUACGGCGGUGCGCUUUGUCGGAGGGCUCGGCCGUACUGACGGAGCUGGCACAGGGUUCCCGCGGGACUCCGGCUUUGCCCGUCUCGUGGAAAGGCUCCAGAGCCUGCUUGGGAAGCCGCUUGACAAGGCACGGCUUUGCCGUGAUUUUUACGCCGGAAUUCCGACGGUAGCGCCGAUGCCACGUGUUAGCCUUUCUCCAGCAGCUCUUCAAAGCAGAGUGAGCCUUAAGAAUCGGACUGCCUUUUAACGAAAUCCGAAACAAAGCGGCGGGGUGAAGCGGCUGGAAGCGUCCUGCCGGUCUGCCGUGGGUAUCGCUGCCGUGCGUGUUACCUGCCUGUCUGCCGAUCGCUCCUGCCUCUUGUUGUGCCCCGGGCCUCGGCUGUUGCGUGCAGAGAAGCUGUCAGCCUUGUGAGAGAGCACGCCGCCGGCAAGCGCAUCGUGGUGCUUCGGUACCGAGCUGAGACCGCAGGCGUCCCUCUUUUGUUUGCGAAAAGGGAUCGCGAGGAAAGGUGCUGACCUCGGAGGGGGAGAGGUGGCGGGGGAACAGGGGGCGUUCCCACAAGGCAGUGGUGUGGAGCCGAAGGGGACUGCGAUGGAACGGUGACGGAGCCCGUUUGGACCGAGUCUUGAAGAUAGAUCUCUCGGGUUUUUGUCCGAGGAAACUUCGUCUCGAGACGGUCCUAUCGCUCGCUGGCAACGUGACUAGUCGAAUCGAGGAUGUUCGCUGCCAGAACUUCAUCCACCGAGAUGGGAAGCCAGGCAACUUCCUAACGGGCCGUGGGCAGAGUUCCCUUCUUGAUGCCGUGCCUCUAUAAUAAACUGUGCAGUCCGUUAGCUGGACGGGCUGCAGUACCCAAUUUUUUUCGCCAGGCGGCAGCACCGCGCGCCCCCCAGGCGGAGUAAGGGCAGCGCAUGCGCAGACGCGGCUUGACGCCGAAGGGGGCGUGGCCUCCGGGCACGUCGCGGGCCGAUGACGCAAUCCGGCUUCGGCGCAUGCGCAGAAGGGGUUUCUGGCAAAGUAAGGGCAGCGCAUGCGCAGACGCGGCUUGACGCCGAAGGGGGCGGGGCUUCCGGCCUCGUCGCGGACCGAUGACGCAACACGCCUCGACGCAUGCGCAGAAGGGCUUUCUGGCAAACUAAGGGCAGCGCAUGCGCAGACGCGGCUUGACGCCGAAGGGGGCGGGGCUUCCGGCCUCGGGCGUACGGGCAGAUGACGCAAUCCCGCUUUGGCGCAUGCGCAGAAGCCUUGCUGGCCGACCGAGGGCGGCGCAUGCGCAGAAGCGGCUUUGACCCCCUAGGGGCGGGGCUUCCGGCCUCGUGCGUAGGGGCAGAGGACGCAUCCGGCCCGGGAAAGGCGGGUUCGCUGCCGGCCCGCGCGGCGCGCUGGAGCGGCCGUGGAGGUUCGUCCGGAAGCGUCCGUCGACAAGUCAAGGGGAGCGGAACCGAAGGGCCUCGGCUGUUGCGUGCAGAGAAGCUGUCAGCCUUGUGAGAGAGCACGCCGCCGGCAAGCGCAUCGUGGUGCUUCGGUACCGAGCUGAGACCGCAGGCGUCCCUCUUUUGUUUGCGAAAAGGGAUCGCGAGGAAAGGUGCUGACCUCGGAGGGGGAGAGGUGGCGGGGGAACAGGGGGCGUUCCCACAAGGCAGUGGUGUGGAGCCGAAGGGGACUGCGAUGGAACGGUGACGGAGCCCGUUUGGACCGAGUCUUGAAGAUAGAUCUCUCGGGUUUUUGUCCGAGGAAACUUCGUCUCGAGACGGUCCUAUCGCUCGCUGGCAACGUGACUAGUCGAAUCGAGGAUGUUCGCUGCCAGAACUUCAUCCACCGAGAUGGGAAGCCAGGCAACUUCCUAACGGGCCGUGGGCAGAGUUCCCUUCUUGAUGCCGUGCCUCUAUAAUAAACUGUGCAGUCCGUUAGCUGGACGGGCUGCAGUACCCAAUUUUUUUCGCCAGGCGGCAGCACCGCGCGCCCCCCAGGCGGAGUAAGGGCAGCGCAUGCGCAGACGCGGCUUGACGCCGAAGGGGGCGUGGCCUCCGGGCACGUCGCGGGCCGAUGACGCAAUCCGGCUUCGGCGCAUGCGCAGAAGGGGUUUCUGGCAAAGUAAGGGCAGCGCAUGCGCAGACGCGGCUUGACGCCGAAGGGGGCGGGGCUUCCG